UGGGCAUGGUAGCUCACUCUUAUAAUCUCAACCUUUUGGUAGGCUGAGGCAGGAGGAUUACUUGAAGCAGAGUUCAAGGCCAGUAUAAGCCAGAAAUGUGAGAUCCUUGUCUUUAUAAAAAAUUAAAAAUAAAAAAAAUUGUAAGACAUAGUGGUGUGCACCUGUAGUUCUAGCUAUUCUGGAGGCUAAGUUGGGAGGUUUAAUUAAGUCCUGGAGUUUGAGGCUGCAGUGAGCUAUGAUUGCCCAUCCUGGGCAACAGACUGAGAUCUCAUGUCUUAAAAAAAUAAGAAAAGUUUAUAUAUUAGUCAUUUAAAAUAAAGCUAAUUUGCAUGAGGAUUUUCAUGAAAUUCAAAAGGCCACCUCCACUAACUGCAAAACUUUUUCACUGUUAAACCAUAUCAAAGAAACUCACAAACCUUGUUAUAGAUUGUUUUGCUGCCUAUAACUAAACCCUAACUUUUUCUCCAAAAAAUAAAAGCUUAUGAAAAUAAAUAAUUUACAUGUUCGUGUUCCUUUAUUGAAAAACAAAAACAAAACACUAGAGUGUACAUUUUUAGAUCCAGCUUCCUGCUGCAUUCCAAAAUCCCAGAAAAGGGAAGAUAUCACAAGUCUGUAACAUAGCCAGAAAGACAGUUGCAGUAGGCACAUUUUCAAAUCCAUAGGUGUUUUACCUAGCCCCAUUUGUUAAAUGUAAGACUAAUUUUGAGUGAUUUGGCUCUUCUCAUUCUGCACUCUAUUUUUUCCUUCUAGGUACUUGUAUUUAUGUUUUGUUCUUUCCUGCUGUGGCAAGCAAUAGCUAUGUGUAAAAGUUAGCUAUUUUUUAUUAAUGUUUAAGAUAACAAACUGUCCCAAAAUUCAGUGGCUCAGAAAAACUGUAAUGCUCACUCAUAUGCAGCUUGCUGGGAGCAACGCUUGCUCUCGGGAUCAAGCUUAUCUCUCUAGGUUUACAAGAAAUUUGGAUAAUCUUUAAAGGGCUCAGUGAAGUGGCUCUCUUCCAUGUUUCAGGUAUAUGGGCAGCUUGGAAGGCUCUGCAUUACAUUCCUGUUCCUUCUCGGCCCCAGUGAACCACCCAUGACUCACUCUUCUCAAGGCAAUGGCAGAGGCAUACAUUGUUAUUCAUCUGAGUUAUCAACUCUUCAGGACUUGUCAACUAUGAAAAUCUCAGAACUGCUUCUGUUUUCUAGGCAAUCCAGAAAGAGCAUGCAGUCUUUCAGCAAUUAUCAAUAAUCUCUCUUUUCUUGGUCAUAUAGAAAAGUAUAUUUAACCAGAAUUUUAGGUUAGAUUAGAUGGAAUUCAGAAGUGUAUAUGAAUGUUAAUGAAAUAAGUCAUCA
rnacentral:lncRNA from 1 species